AACUGGGGGGAUGACCUGUGGUUAGGGGUGAAAGGCCAAGCAAACUCGGUGAUAGCUGGUUCUCCGCGAAAUGCAUUUAGGUGCAGCGUUGCGUGUUCAGCCAUGGAGGUAGAGCUACUGGAUGGGUUAGGGGACCUACAAGUUUACCGACCCCAACCAAACUCCGAAUACCAUGGCUCCAGAGCGCAGCAGUGAGACCUAGGGGGAUGAGCUUCUAUGGUCGAGAGGGAAACAGCCCAGACCGCCAGCUAAGGCCCCUAAUUCUGGACUAAGUGGUAAACGAUGUGAGACUGCUCAGACAGCCAGGAGGUUGGCUUAGAAGCAGCCAUCCUUUAAAGAGUGCGUAAUAGCUCACUGGUCGAGUGGUCUUGCGCGGACAAUGUAACGGGGCUCAAGUCCAGAGCCGAAGCUGCGGAUGCAGUAGUAAUACUGCGUGGUAGCGGAGCGUCGAUCUCUGCAUUGAAGCGACGGGAGAACCCGUCGUGGAGCGUGGUCGAGUGCGAAUGUUGGCAUGAGUAGCGAAAGAGGAGUGAGAAUCUCCUCCGCCGAAUAUCUAAGGGUUCCUGGGGAAGGUUCGUCCGCCCAGGGUUAGUCGGGAGCUAACGCGAGGCCGAGAGGCGUAGUGGAUGCACAACUGGUUGAUAUUCCAGUACCGACGGGAGCACGUCCGAACCAAUUUGUUGUUGCUAAGAGGCUGUUUGCCUUCGGGUAAGCGAAUCGACCCACGAUGAGGCGGUUAGCAAUGGAGUGACGCAGGAAGAUAGGUGAUCCCAGGCGUUGGUUGUCCUGGGGGAAGUGCGUAGGGCGGGGCCCAGGUAAAUCCGGUCCCCAUGAAGCCUGAGACACGAUCCCGAGUCGUUCAGACGAAGUCAUUGAUUCUCUACUGCCAAGAAAAGCUUCUAGCGAGUUCUCCUGUUGCCCGUACCCUAAACCGACACAGGUAGAUAGGUCGAGAAGACCAAGGCGAGUGAGUGAACUGUGGUUAAGGAACUCGGCAAAAUACCUCUGUAACUUCGGGAUAAAGAGGGCCCCUAGGGUGACCGGACUUGCUCCGUGAGCUUGAUGGGGUGGCACAAACCAGAGGGAAGCGACUGUUUACUAAAAACACAGGAGCGUGCGAAGCCGUAAGGCGAUGUAUACGCUCUGACGCCUGCCCGGUGCUGGAAGGUUACGGGGAGCGGUUAGACUUCGGUCGAAGCUGCGAACUUAAGCCCCAGUAAACGGCGGCGGUAACUAUAACCGUCCUAAGGUAGCGAAAUUCCUUGUCGGGUAAGUUCCGACCUGCACGAAUGGCGUAACGACUUCCCUACUGUCUCAACCACAGACUCAGCGAAAUUGAAGUACGAGUAAAGAUGCUCGUUAGCUGC
rnacentral:rRNA from 1 species